rnacentral:lncRNA from 1 species
CUGGCUGGAGCUCAGGGUGGCAGGCUAAACCGGACUGUGAGCAGUUGGAGUAGCAGUGAGGAUGUGACUCCAAGGGGGACUUCUUUGCUGGCACUGUGAGCAAGGUUUCACCAGCAGGAGCUGGUGACAAGGAUCAUUGCUGUGUCUUUUAUGCUGUUGAACAGAUGAAUAAUACAGAGGAAAGCCCACGUGGACUGAGGACAUACACAUGGAGCGUGGAGGUGAUAAGACCACUUCUUCAGGAACGACCAGAAUAGCAUAAAAGAUCAAUGGAAGCAUUGCUAAAAAAGGAAGACUGAAAUCUCAACCUUUCAGGGAGUAAUUUAUCAUUUGGAUGAGCCUAAUGAGAAAAGUAGUGCAGUGAAUGAUGUGACAAUAUGAAACAACAAAAUAGUGAAUGAUUAACGAGCGACAAAUUGAGAGGGAAAAAAAGGACAACGCUUUCAUUAUGGUGCAAAAGAGAAUUUGACAAACUCAUCCAAGAAAGCAACCACUUUUUCCUCCGUCUUAGUUGAAUGCCUUGAAAAACGAAUAAUCAUACUGCUUUCAAGGAAUUUCGUAAGUGUAAAAUAGUUAAACUUCUAUAGAAUUUCAAUAAUUAAGGGUUACAAAUAUAUUUAAAGGAUUUUGAAGCUUUAAUAAUUAAAACUUUAUAAAAAUUAUGCUGCAAUUAUUCAGGGCAAAUCAAAAUGAGAAAAAAACC